CGGCACCACCGGCGGCGCUUGCGCCCGCGCCGUUCGCACCGCUGCCGGCUGCCGGCGUGCGAUUCCACGGGUGCCACC
rnacentral:tRNA from 1 species